rnacentral:rRNA from 1 species
GACGAACGCUGGCGGCGUGCUUAACACAUGCAAGUCGAACGCUGAAGCUCAGCUUUUGUUGGGUGGAUGAGUGGCGAACGGGUGAGUAACACGUGAGUAACCUGCCCCCUUCUUUGGGAUAACGCCCGGAAACGGGUGCUAAUACUGGAUAUUCACUGGUCUUCGCAUGGGGGUUGGUGGAAAGGGUUUUUCUGGUGGGGGAUGGGCUCGCGGCCUAUCAGCUUGUUGGUGGGGUGAUGGCCUACAAAGGCUUUGACGGGUAGCCGGCCUGAGGGGGGGACGGUCACCGUGGGACUGAGAUACCGCCCAGAACGCUACGGGAGGCAGCAGGUGGGAAUAUUGCACAAAGGGCGCAAGGCUGAUGCAGCGGCGCCGCGGGGGGGAUUGAGGCCUUCGGGUUGUGAACCUCUUUCGCCCAUGGUUAAGCCGCAACCAUGGUUGUGGUGAGGGUAGUGGGUAAAGAAGCGCCGGCUAACUACGUG